UCCAGACUCCUACGGGAGGCAGCAGUGGGGAAUAUUGCACAAUGGGGGGAACCCUGAUGCAGCGACGCCGCGUGGGUGAAGGAGUAUUUCGGUAUGUAAAGCCCUAUCAGCAGGGAAGAACAAUGACGGUACCUGACUAAGAAGCACCGGCUAAAUACGUGCCAGCAGCCGCGGUAAUACGUAGGGGGCAAGCGUUAUCCGGAUUUACUGGGUGUAAAGGGAGCGUAGACGGCAUGGCAAGUCUGAUGUGAAAACCCGGGGCUCAACCCCGAGACUGCAUUGGAAACUGUCAGGCUAGAGUGUCGGAGAGGGAAGUGGAAUUCCUGGUGUAGCGGUGAAAUGCGUAGAUAUUAGGAGGAACACCAGUGGCGAAGGCGGCUUGCUGGACAAUGACUGACGUUGAGGCUCGAAAGCGUGGGGAGCAAACAGGAUUAGAUCCCCCUGUA
rnacentral:rRNA from 1 species